GAUGAACGCUGGCGGCGUGCUUAACACAUGCAAGUCGAACGAAGCAUUUGCGACAGAUUUUUUCGGAAUGAAGUUGCUUAUGACUGAGUGGCGGACGGGUGAGUAACGCGUGGGUAACCUGCCUUGUACUGGGGGAUAGCAGCUGGAAACGGCCGGUAAUACCGCAUAAGCGCACAAUGUUGCAUGACAUGGUGUGAAAAACUCCGGUGGUAUAAGAUGGACCCGCGUCUGAUUAGCUAGUUGGUGAGAUAACAGCCCACCAAGGCGACGAUCAGUAGCCGACCUGAGAGGGUGACCGGCCACAUUGGGACUGAGACACGGCCCAGACUCCUACGGGAGGCAGCAGUGGGGAAUAUUGCACAAUGGAGGAAACUCUGAUGCAGCGACGCCGCGUGAGUGAAGAAGUAAUUCGUUAUGUAAAGCUCUAUCAGCAGGGAAGAUAGUGACGGUACCUGACUAAGAAGCUCCGGCUAAAUACGUG
rnacentral:rRNA from 1 species